UCGGAGAUAGCUGGUUCUCUGCGAAAUCUAUUUAGGUAGAGCGUCGGACGAAUACCCUCGGGGGUAGAGCACUGAAUGGGUAAUGGGGGCCUACAGCCUUACUGAUCCUAAUCAAACUCCGAAUACCGAGGAGUAAUAUCCGGCAGACACACAGCGGGUGCUAACGUCCGUUGUGGAGAGGGAAACAACCCUGACCUACGACUAAGGCCCCUAAUUCAUGGCUAAGUGGGAAAGCAGGUGGGACGACCAAAACAACCAGGAGGUUGGCUUAGAAGCAGCCAUCCUUUAAAGAUAGCGUAACAGCUCACUGGUCUAAAUAAGUUGUCCUGCGGCGAAGAUGUAUCGGGGCUCAAGCCAUGAGCCGAAGCUUAGGAUGCCGUAAGGCAUGGUAGCGGAGCGUAGUGUGAUAUAGUUCCUAUCCUCUUUUGCACCUUCGGGUGUCUAGGAGGGUUUGGAGCUUUCUGUGAAGCCGGCGCGUGAGCGAUCCGGUGGAGAGAUCACUAGUGAGAAUGAUGACAUGAGUAGCGACAAAGAGGGUGAGAGACCCUCUCGCCGAAAGUCCAAGGGUUCCUGCUUAAAGCUAAUCUGAGCAGGGUGAGCCGGCCCCUAAGUCGAGGCAGAAAUGCGUAGACGAUGGGAACCACGUUAAUAUUCGUGGGCCAGGAGGAUGUGACGGAUCUCGAAGGUAGUUCAUCCUUAUUGGAUUGAAUGGGCUGCUUAGAGGUUCCUGGAAAUAGCCCUCCAUCAGACCGUACCCUAAACCGACACAGGUGGACUGGUAGAGAAUACCAAGGCGCUUGAGAGAAUGAUGCUGAAGGAACUCGGCAAAUUACCUGCGUAACUUCGGGAUAAGCAGGCCUCGGUCCCGGGCAACCGGAAUCGAGGGGCACAGACCAGGGGGUGGCGACUGUUUACUAAAAACACAGGGCUCUGCGAAGUCGCAAGACGACGUAUAGGGUCUGACGCCUGCCCGGUGCCUGAAGGUUAAAAGGAGGAGUGCAAGCUCCGAAUUGAAGCCCAGGUAAACGGCGGCCGUAACUAUAACGGUCCUAAGGUAGCGAAAUUCCUUGUCGGG
rnacentral:rRNA from 1 species